UUAAAUUAUUUAGUAAGUGAAAAUCCUUACUUUAAAAUAAUAGACGAGAAGACCCUUGAAAUUUUUAUGAGUAUUAAUAUAAAAAUUUUUGCUGGGGCGGCAGAAUAACAGUUAACUUAUUAUCUUUUAUUUGACUUUUUUUUGGUGGGAAAAUAAAUUACUCUAGGGAUAACAGCAUAAUAUUUAAAAGUUUGUGACCUCGAUGUUGGACUAGGAAAUUUAAGCUUAGAAGGCUGAUUUUAUUGUACUGUUCGUACAGAAACUCCUACAUGA
rnacentral:rRNA from 1 species